rnacentral:rRNA from 1 species
UAAUGUGGUUGUCGCAAGGCAAUCGUAUAACAAACAUUAAGCGGUGCAGCGUUACAAACCUUGGUGUUUUAGUAGUGUCAAUGUAGUCUAUGGUUCGCCAUAGGCUGCUUUCGGCCUAGCGUACAAGUCCCAUUGACUUGGGCUUAUUCUUAAUUGAGAUGUCUACGGGUUUGGGGCAACUUGGAUCCGUGGAUGAGCCAUAGAGGGUGAAAGCCCCUUAAUGCGCAGGUAUUGAUGCUACGAACCGGGGCAGUGGCGUCGGGUCAAACCGGCGUUGCGAUUUGUUAGAGUCGGGUUGCUUGAGAGUGCAACCUAAAGAGCGAGGUAAACUGCUCGUAAGGCUAUUUAAAUACGGCUACGACACCGAUAGCAAACAAGUACCGUGAGGGAAAGUUGCAAAGUACUUUGAAGAGAGAGUUAAACAGGGCGUGAAACCGCUAGCUGGAAAACGAGUGGAGCCACGAAGUCGUUUCGUAGAAUACGAGGCGCAAAUUCAGCUAAGAUCAGCAAUGGUUUUAGCGUAUUUUUGCUUGUCUCGCUACUGUAAGCGUACACUGCAACCAAUUAGACGGCUAAUCAUGGAUACAGUUUGCGCGUUGACAGGGAAACUUGUUGCGCGUAAGCGAAACAAUUUGUGCACUUUAGCGUAGGUAGUCUGGUAUAAUUUCUUGUAGAUUAUAUUGGGCGUAUUGACGGUAAAUGCGUGAACUACGAUUAGGUACUGAUUGGCAAAAUGAAAAUCGAAUCGCAAGAUUCGUGUACUCAUAGAAAGCGUCUGGCCUCGUAUUUGGGUACAAUUGUACGCUGCUAGUAUCUCAAGCUUGGUACUUUGAAUUCAGGCACGUAUAUUGUCGGUGGGUUCGCCCGUCGAUAUAUGCGCUGUUUCCUGUCUAAUCGGGUAUUAACUUUGCUGGUAGUUUGAUGCAAUUGCCACGAUAGCAUCGAAUGCGAGAGUCAGUCUGCAAGUAUUGGCAGUGAGUAGGUCGGCUUUCCACACGACCC